UUUCCGUAGGUGAACCUGCGGAAGGAUCAUUGAAUCUAUCGACCCACCCACUCCUACCAAGCGAACUUUACUGUCUCAAGCCCCGUCGGCCCCUUUGUCUUUGCCGUGAAAAGCGAAGGACAAGGCUUCCUGGCGGUGCGUCGUUAAGCUUUAACGAGCUGAUCGACGCAGGGUCGUUGUAAUAACGAUCAGGUGCACGGCUUAUGCUCUUUUGUUUCCUAACGGGGACUAUGAGAGAAAGCCAGUCGCCCACGAACUAGCACAGCGUGGGUGGUUAGGUGCACGCUCGACUCGGCAUUGUGUAUCUUCUCACCCUCAAACCAUUAUCUGAAGUAACCAAUCGUCGUGCAGACGGCUUGGCCGACUCGCACGCAUAAAUACCAAGACAACUCUCAACAACGGAUAUCUUGGCUCUC
rnacentral:misc_RNA from 1 species